AAUAAUAUUGUUAUUUUAAGAGAAUGUAUCUAACUUCUUCCAGAAAGAAAUCCCAGUUAAUAUGAAGUUGGUUAAUUCGAGCCAGUU